UCCCUGGUGGCUCAGUUGGUAGAGAAUCUGCCUGAAAUGUAGGAGACCUGAGUUCGAUCCCUGGCUUGGGAA
rfam:TPA: Bos taurus chromosome 12, whole genome shotgun sequence.